rnacentral:rRNA from 1 species
GACGAACGCUGGCGGCGUGCUUAAAAACAUGCAAGUCGAACGGACUUCUCAUGAAGCUUGCGAUUGAGAAGUUAGUGGCGGACGGGUGAGUAACGCGUGGGCAACCUGCCCCUGAGCCCGGGAUAACAGUUCGAAAGGACUGCUAAGACCGGAUAUACUUGCGGUGAAGCAUUUCACUGCAAGGAAAGGGAACGCUCAGGGAUGGGCCCGCGUCCCAUUAGCUAGUUGGUGAGGUAACGGCCCACCAAGGCGACGAUGGGUAGCCGGCCUGAGAGGGUGAACGGCCACACUGGGACUGAGACACGGCCCAGACUCCUACGGGAGGCAGCAGUUGGGAAUCUUCGGCAACUGGGCGCAAGCCUGACCGAGCAACGCCGCGUGAGUGAUGAAGGUUUUCGGAUUGUAAAGCUCUGUCUUCCGGGACGAUAAUGACGGUACCGGAGGAGGAAGCCACGGCUAACUACGUGCCAGCAGCCGCGGUAAACACGGAGAGUA